UACGGAGGGUGCAAGCGUUGUCCGGAUUUAUUGGGUUUAAAGGGUGCGUAGGUGGCGUUUUAAGUCUGGUUUGAAAGCUGGUGGCUCAACCAUCAGAUGUGGCUGGAAACUGGGGCGCUUGAAUGGGUUGGCGGUAGCCGGAAUGGGUCAUGUAGCGGUGAAAUGCAUAGAUAUGACCCGGAACACCGAUUGCGAAGGCAGGCUACUACGACUUGAUUGACACUGAGGCACGAGAGCAUGGGUAGCGAACCGG
rnacentral:rRNA from 1 species